rnacentral:rRNA from 1 species
CCUACGGGAGGCAGCAGUGGGGAAUAUUGGACAAUGGGCGCAAGCCUGAUCCAGCCAUGCCGCGUGGGUGAUGAAGGCCCUAGGGUUGUAAAGCCCUUUCGGCGGGGAAGAUAAUGACGGUACCCGCAGAAGAAGCCCCGGCUAACUUCGUGCCAGCAGCCGCGGUAAUACGAAGGGGGCUAGCGUUGCUCGGAAUCACUGGGCGUAAAGCGCACGUAGGCGGCUUGUUAAGUCGGAGGUGAAAUCCUGGAGCUCAACUCCAGAACUGCCUUCGAUACUGGCGAGCUCGAGUCCGGGAGAGGUGAGUGGAACUGCGAGUGUAGAGGUAAAAUUCGUAGAUAUUCGCAAGAACACCAGUGGCGAGGGCGGCUCAC